rnacentral:rRNA from 1 species
GUGAGGAAUUUUCCGCAAUGGGCGAAAGCCUGACGGAGCAAUGCCGCGUGAAGGAUGAAGGCCUAUGGGUUGUAAACUUCUUUUCUUAGAGAAGAAUAUUGACGGUAUCUGAGGAAUAAGCAUCGGCUAACUCUGUGCCAGCAGCCGCGGUAAGACAGAGGAUGCAAGCGUUAUCCGGAAUGAUUGGGCGUAAAGCGCCUGUAGGUGGCUUCAAAAGUCUCCUGUCAAAGAUCAGAGCUUAACCCUGGGCCGGCAGGAGAAAGUCUUGGGCUAGAGUGUGGUAGGGGCAGAGGGAAUUCCCGGUGGAGCAGUGACAUGCGUAGAGAUCGGGAGGAACACCAAAGGCGAAAGCACUCUGCUGGGCCACAACUGACACUGAGAGACAGAAGCGCGUGGAGCAAAAGGGAUUAGAAACCCCAGUAGUCC